rnacentral:lncRNA from 1 species
GGGUUUGUGUGUGUCUUUAGCCCUGGGUCUUUUGGUCCCCCGCCCAGAUCUCCUGCUCUUUCCCUCCCCCUUUUCACCCCAGCUGCCUUUUUGCUCUGCUUACGGGUUGGCUGGGUGCAUUACAAACCCUGGUGCCAGCGAAACCCAGCCAACUGCCAUCUUAAUUUGCCCGGAGGCCUGUGUGGCCCACGUCUCUUAAUUACCUGCUGCCCUGCCGAUGGGCAUGACUCAAGCGACAUUCCAAAGCAGCUUCAAACAAAGAGGGGCCUAAUUUGCCCAUCGGGGUCUGUUGCCAUGGAAACAUACGAACACAGGAGGACCAUUGGCCCAUCUGGCUUCAGUCGCCGGCAGUAGAAGCUCUCCAAGGUUCCAGACAAAGGUCUUUUACCUGGUGCUUUUUUUCAGCCAGAGAGCACCGGAGCACAGUUCCGGCAGCUCUCAUGUGUGUGCCGUUGUUGGCUAGCGCUCCCUCCACCUGCGUCUUGCCUUUUACAUACUUCUGAGAAGCCCCAAACGAACAUUUCAAGUCAAAACGGAAACUGGCCAGUGUGUGUGUUAUGUACUGAAUUGAAUAGGAUCCAAAAUGCAGCAGUCUGAUUGGUCCUAGAAAAAUAGGAUCCAAAAUGCAGCAGUCUGAUUGGUCUGCAGGAGCCACCCAAUCCAGCUCCAGGUGGAAGUGAAUCCACAACCUGAUUGGCCUACAGGAGAAUUCCGGAAUUAGCCAAUCACGUGCAGCCCAUUGUGUAAAUAAUGUAUAUAAAGCAGGCAUUCUGGGGGAACUUCCAUUCCUCCUCACCACUAUGAGCUGAAUAAAGAGCAUGAAAUCCAUUCUCGACUCUGAGUAUAUUUCAGUGUGUAAGACCCCUUUUUUUAGAUCUACGGCUCCACCUAGCUCCUAGCCGCUCCUAACCAUAAUUGGUCCAGCUACAGCGCGGGCCCAAUUUGUAUUUCCUUUUCCUCAGUCCGUCUCCCGUGUAGCGGCAGCAGGCUUUAAGCUUUCCAUCCAUGCUCUACCAUUGCGCACGUGUGCACAAGGUCCCUUCCGAGCUGCCCUAACCAUCCGUCUGAAUCUAAGAGAAUGAGGGAGGUGGGGUGCAGUUAUUUGACUUGCACCAGAACUGGGGGCAACCCCCAAACCAGCUAGGAAGACAGCUUGCCAUAGUUUUUAGCACCUCCACAGGCAGUGAAUGCAGCAAUUGUCAAACCGGCAUUUGUUGAGGGCUGCCCCGAGUCGCUGUAGCAACUUCAUGGUGUGUUAUGGCACCUGUUUUUCUAGAGAGUGAGAAAAGCGCUGGUCUUCCCCAACUUAUGGCUAAGCUGACUCAAAAACGCCCACCCACCCCACUCACACACAAAAACAAAGUUCACCGCAGCCAAUCACAAACAAGCAACCGCACCCUAGGCCAACCCCAAUUUCUCUCACCACCAAAGGAACACAAGCGAAUGGCAAAGAGAACCCGCACAAACGAUGCUGACACAAAACCCCCCACACACAUUAAGCAAAUUGGAAACAUCGCCUCCCGACCCCCACGCCCACUCGCCUUUCCCCCCUCCACCUCUCCCCCCCCCUUUUCUUCCUAAUGUAACCCUGAUGUCUCAACAAAUGAAACUGACCUAUGGAAAACGUAACUUGAAAAAAGAGACAUUGCGCAUACCUUUGUAAACCAAGAAAACUUUAUUAAUAAAAAUAUUUAUUUAUUUUACAAAAAGAGGAAAAUACUUGGAGAUGCUGGGGAUAGAGACCAGAACCCGCUGCGUGCUUAGCUGAUGCUGUGCCACUGAGCUACACUGAGCCUCAAGCUCCCUUAUACUGAGUCAGUCCAUUGGUCCAUCUAAUUCAGUACUGCCUACAUGGACUGGAAGUGCCGCCUCUGGGUUUCAGAUUGCGGACAUUCUCAGCCCCUCCUGGAGAUGCCAGGGUUUGAACCUGCGACCCCUUGUGUCACGAGGGAGCUGACAGGCAGCACACCUCCUCAUCUGUCCAGUCCCUGAGAUCUUGCAUGCUAAGCUGAUGCUCUGCCACAGAGCUACAUCUCUCCCUUGAGGGCCAGUGUGGUGUAGUGGUUCAGAGCAGUGGACUCGUAAUCUGGUGAACCGGGUUCGAUUCCCUCUCCUCCACCUGCAGCUGCUGGGUGACCUCGGGCCAGUCACACUUCUCUGAAGUCUCUCAGCUUCACUCACCUCACAGAGUGUUUGUUGUGGGGGAGGAAGGGAAAGGAGAUGGUUAGCCGCUUUGAGACUCCUUAGGGUAAUGAUAAAGCGGGAUAUCAAAUCCAAACUCUUCUUCUUCUUCUUCCUCCCCCAAUUCCUCAGCAACCAAAGCAAGCCGAUCUGAAAAGGACACCCGAUUUAUCAUAGUGGCCUGAACCAUGGCUCAGAAGAGCAGUACAGUUGUACCUCAGAAGUCAAACGGAAUCCCUUCCGGAAGUCCGUUCGACUUCCAAAACGUUCAAAAACCAAAGCUCAGCUUCAGAUUGGCUGCAGGAAGCUGGGGAAGCCCCAUCAGAUGUUUGGCUUCCAAAACUUGUUCAAAAACCGGAACACUCACUUCCAGGUUUCGAUCGUUCGGGGUCAGAUUUGUUCAGGAGCCAAGGCGUUCGAGAUCCAAGGUACGACUGUAGAAAUGCCGGUGGGAAAGCAAGGGGCAUUUUGCAGCCUGCAACAGCCGGCCGGUCCUACAGGGGAGCAAGAAAUGCAGAUUCUAGGUUCUGUUUGUUUUUCUCUCACAUACAGCCCCUAUGCAGAGAGCCAUAAAAGAUUUUUCUUUUCCCCCCUUUCCUCCCAGAGACCAAACAAGUUCCACCAGGUGGCUUUAAGCCUCUUGAAAUU